GACGAACGCUGGCGGCGUGCCUAAUACAUGCAAGUCGAGCGGAGACAUGGUUGGUGCUUGCACCGACUAUGUUUUAGCGGCGGACGGGUGAGUAACGCGUGAACAAUCUGUCCCAGUCAGGGGGAUAACACUUGGAAACAGGUGCUAAUACCGCAUAAGACCACGGACCCGCAUGGGUUUGAGGUAAAAGGAGCAAUCCGGAUUGGGGUGAGUUCGCGUCCCAUUAGCUAGUUGGUGAGGUAACGGCCCACCAAGGCCUUGAUGGGUAGCCGACCUGAGAGGGUGAUCGGCCACACUGGAACUGAGAGACGGUCCAGACUCCUACGGGGGGCAGCAGUAGGGAAUAUUGGGCAAUGGGCGAAAGCCUGACCCAGCAACGCCGCGUGAGGGAUGAAGGUUCUCGGAUUGUAAACCUCUGUCCUCAGGGAAGAAUAACCGACGGUACCUGAGGAGGAAGCCCCGGCUAACUACGUGCCAGCCGCCGCAGUAAAA
rnacentral:rRNA from 1 species